rnacentral:rRNA from 1 species
AUACGUAGGGAGCGAGCGUUGUCCGGAAUUACUGGGUGUAAAGGGAGCGUAGGCGGGAGUGCAAGUCAGAUGUGAAAUACAUGGGCUCAACCCAUGGGCUGCAUUUGAAACUGCAUUUCUUGAGUGAAGUAGAGGUAAGCGGAAUUCCUGGUGUAGCGGUGAAAUGCGUAGAUAUCAGGAGGAACACCGGUGGCGAAGGCGGCUUACUGGGCUUUUACUGACGCUGAGGCUCGAAAGCGUGGGGAGCAAACAGGAUUAGAUACCCUGGUAGUCCACGCUGUAAACGAUGAUUACUAGGUGUGGGGGGACUGACCCCUUCCGUGCCGCAGUUAACACAAUAAGUAAUCCACCUGGGGAGUACAGCCGCAAGGUUGAAACUCAAAUGAAUUGACGGGG